rnacentral:lncRNA from 1 species
AAUGUUUUUCAUCAAAUGUCCUUAGAUUUGGAGGAGGUUUCCCCAGCGUAUCCAGUGGUUGUCUUCCUCUUGAUUAGUAUUAAAGGAGGAGAAAAGGUGUGUGUUGGGAUCAGUGCAGAAAACAAAUCAUCCAAGCACACUAAGUGGAAUUUGCUAAUAGCAUUACUACUCACCCAGUGACUUCGGAGUCACAACCCAGGACACGGUUUUCCGUCCAUUUCUACAGACACAGUGAGAUUCUUCAUUCUUCUCUGUUGGAACAGCCAGGAAAGCGGGAGAGACCUCCAGCUGCACAAUGACCUGUCCCCCACACCCAAACCACAAGUUUAUGAAGGGAUGCAGAACAAGAUGAAUACUGCAGAAGAUGCUCUGUGCAUCAGGUAAAUGGACUGAGGGACAAUGUCCAUGAGUCCAGAGGCGCUGAGAAGCUGUGCAAACAUGGUCAGCUGUAUCAGACACUUUAGGUGCUUGAAACAAGAAAAUUGAAAAACUGACAGGAAUUAGGAUAAGUGUUUAGGAUUUAGCCUUGUGCCAACAGAAGAAAGAGGUGUUUAGUGAAAAACAUGAAACAAUCAGGUGGACAUAAUGUCUGAAUUUAGGAAUACACAGAUAUAGGAGCCUGAAUGAAUAUAACCUUACCACCUUGGGCCUGUCAGGUACCUUUGCUCUUAGUACCAGGUCUGUUCCAAAAUUAGGAUAUAUCAUAUGCAGUUCUGAUUUCCUGGGUUACCUAGGAGACCUCGUAAUGAGUGGUGACUAUGUUCUAUUCUCAUUCACUUCCAGAGAAGUGCCCUUACCCGAAUGCAGAUGGACAAGUAGUUAAACACAGUGGCUUUGAGUGUGAAGGCUUCUCCUCGCACCACAGAAUAAGGAAGGGUGAGCUCUAGGAAGAAAGGCUGGAAGGCUUGAAGAGACACGAUAGGAGAGAGGCCAAACCCUAUGGUUCCAGACAAGCAGAAUGCGCUGGCCUUCCACUCUGUGAUGGUGUCAGGGACCUGCCCCACCAGGUCACUUACACCUGAUGAGCUAGUGAAGGAGCAGAGAAGAGGAGUGUGAGCAAAUCUCUUUUUUUUAAACACAAAGCAUGGCUGAUCCUAGAACAUGAUAACUCAGUAACCUAGUGUGGUAAACGCUAAACUUGAUCUAAGGGUUGGUGCUCCUGGUGAGGUCUUAAAGUUUUUUUUGUCCCUACCUCCCUUAGUUCCUCCUUCCCUCCCUCCCUUUAUUUCUUCCUUUUUUCUUUCACUAUUUCCUUCCUUUUAUUCUUUCUUUCAGUCUCCCUCCCCUCCCCUUCUCUUUCCUUUAUUUAAGAGGGCUGGUAGCAUCCUACUUUCUAUUAUUUUAGUUAUGGAUAGACCAAAUUAGAAAAAAAAAUUAGCAUUGUUUAAUUAUGAGAUAAAUGAACUAUAAACCUAAAUAUUUACCAGAAAAGAGCAGAACAGAACUAAAAGGAUCAGGAAUCCAGGAUAACGUCAGUCAUACAGCAGGAUUCAAACCCUCUCCUAAACUAAAUUCCAGGCAACACACAACUUACUCAACUACCACCAAAUCCCAGAUCCAGGUCUCAGAGAAGUACUUCCGGACUAUCUCUUUCACUUGCAAUAUCUGAGGUUCUUCUUCGAUCAUUGGGUACAUUAUUUCUACGGCUCCUGGGGGUACACCUCACAGACCUGGUCCUGGAAGACAACACACAGGCCUCAGUGUGAACCUCAUUUUUAUCAUCAAUUUCUUAUUGCUGCCUUAUUUCUCCAGUGGAAUAAGGUCAUAUGCUCAGGGAAUGUUUAUUAUUGGAACAAUUUAAGCUACCAACUUGUUAUUUUGUUCACUUUCCUAUAAAAAAGCUAAUCCUACUUUUUCUUCAAAUAGAAUCUAGAGCUAAAUAUAUUUUUCUUUAUAAAUAAAAACAAAUGACCUGUACAUGUACCUCCUGAAUCUAAAAUAAAAGUUGAUUAAAAAAAAACAAA